rnacentral:rRNA from 1 species
UAGUGGCGAACGGGUGAGUAACACGUGGGCAAUCUGCCCUUCACUCUGGGACAAGCCCUGGAAACGGGGUCUAAUACCGGAUAACACUUCCUGCCGCAUGGCGGGGGGUUAAAAGCUCCGGCGGUGAAGGAUGAGCCCGCGGCCUAUCAGCUUGUUGGUGGGGUGAUGGCCUACCAAGGCGACGACGGGUAGCCGGCCUGAGAGGGCGACCGGCCACACUGGGACUGAGACACGGCCCAGACUCCUACGGGAGGCAGCAGUGGGGAAUAUUGCACAAUGGGCGAAAGCCUGAUGCAGCGACGCCGCGUGAGGGAUGACGGCCUUCGGGUUGUAAACCUCUUUCAGCAGGGAAGAAGCGAAAGUGACGGUACCUGCAGAAGAAGCGCCGGCUAACUACGUGCCAGCAGCCGCGGUAAUACGUAGGGCGCAAGCGUUGUCCGGAAUUAUUGGGCGUAAAGAGCUCGUAGGCGGCUUGUCACGUCGGAUGUGAAAGCCCGGGGCUUAACCCCGGGUCUGCAUUCGAUACGGGCUAGCUAGAGUGUGGUAGGGGAGAUCGGAAUUCCU